rnacentral:rRNA from 1 species
UACGGGGGGAGCAAGCGUUGUUCGGAUUUACUGGGCGUAAAGGGCGCGUAGGCGGUCAGCACAAGUCAGUGGUGAAAUCUCCGGGCUUAACUCGGAACUGCCGUUGAUACUAUUUAUCUUGAAUAUCAUGGAGGUAAGCGGAAUAUGUCAUGUAGCGGUGAAAUGCUUAGAUAUGACAUAGAACACCGAUGGCGAAGGCAGCCCCCUGGGCCGACAUUGACGCUCAGGCACGAAAGCGUGGGGAGCAAACAGG